AUUAAAAUUAAUUUCACGACGCUGCCCGAUUUGUUCUGCGCAUGUUUAAUGUUUCACGACACACGUCAGGUUUGAAUUGUAGUUGUGAGUAAUUUUUGUGUUGACGUUUAUCUCCGUGUGUAAGUGGACGUCUUACUGGAAAAGAUGACAACUUUUGAAUUGUAUAACGUCUUGGAAGAAUAUUUGUCGCAUGAAAAUUUUAACUCCAUUCGAAUGAAGAGGGAGCGAAAUGAAAUGCGAUGUAUGUCUGUGAACUUUAUAAUGGAUACGUAUAGCUUUUUGAUGCCUGGUGGUAACCAGCUUUCCAAGUGGCUGAACAGAUGCCAGUGUACCCAAAUUCUGAGACACAACUGGAUGUCCUUUUCUUCUACUUUUUAAGAUUUCCAAUUCGAGAUGAUGUGCAGUUCAUGUUAGAUUUGCAAUUUCUACAGUUACAGUGAAGUAGAAGAGUCCAGUCGUGUUAUGGGGCAGCAGUUAAACAAGAAGGAAGGAGAGAUGUGUGCCAUGUUGAAGUAGCAGCUGCCCCUCUGACCGGCACUUCUAGAAUCCUCCAUCUAAACCUCUGCUCUGAUCUGCUGUGCCUUUGCCAAGUGAUCACGAGUUUAUUGCAAUGGUGCCCCCCAGCGUCUCCACCGUCUGUUACAUCAACUCCAACUGCCUGUGAUAGAAGAAAAGUUCACAAGACGUCCUAAAAUGGAAUUGUGAUUGGAGUGAGAUGGCCACAAUUAUGUAUGCUGGGAUGUGCAGAAGGGGCUGUGUGGGCUUUGGCUUGGGACCCCCAGAAAUUUAUUAUCUCCAGUAUCCUUGAAGGCUACAAGUUUGUCUUUGUCCCCGACCAUUUUACCAGGCAGUGUAUUUAUUACAAAGGACAAGGACCCCUCCAUUUGCUUCUUAUUUACUUUUAUAAUGCCUUCAAUUUUGUUUGUAACUGUAUAUUUUUGUAGAGCAAUUUGAGCAACACUUGUAAGCAAAAGUGAUAUAGAAAUAUUAUUAGUGAACAAAUGUUAAGGGACAGAUCAGGAAAAAUAUCAGUUUAAAUAGAACACAUUU